GGAAAGAAGAAGAGCUCUAUUUUCCAUAGAGGCGCGGACUUGUUUUUGCGGCUAUAGAGGGUGGGUUUAUGGUCGGACCGAAGGAGGCAGGUUAGAAGGAGUGGUAGAGCAUUCAUUUCAAGGGUUUCAGUCUGAAUAUUUAACUGCCACAAGCCAUAGAAAAUAGACCUGUCAAGAGGAACUGGAUCUUCGGACUAAAAUGCAACCUUCAAAACUGCAAUGGUUGCUGCAUUGUCUGAGCAGGAUCAAGGAUGCAAUAAGAAAGGAAGCAUGUGAAGACUCAAUUGUUCAAGACAACUUCGUUUCUUUCUUUUUUUACUGAUGGCAUUUGAUUUUAAAAACUAACAAUUUGCUACUGGCUGAUUGGUAGAGACAUUGAUUUGGUGAUGUUUAUGACAGUUUAUUUGCUUUAUUAUGUAUUGUAUAUACUGUAUUAUGGUUUUUGAAACUUCAGCCCCUCUUGGGUUUCCUUUUUUGUAAACUGAAAAAGUAAACUAUAAGCACAAGACAUGAGUUAGUAUAUACAUGUUUAGUCUAUAAGCAUUCCCAUGACAAAUGAGAGAAACCCAAAAUAAUAUGUCAGUGAUCUGAUCCAAUGGCUUUCCAUGGGAGCUGUUUUCUAUUACGUCAUUUAUUCUGAAUCGCAUGAAUUAUGCUUUCAAUAUGACUGGGAUGUCUGUAUCAGGGACAAAUCUUCUACAAAUUAUGACACUUCCUUACCUUGAUAAAAUUGUGAAGGAUGCAUGACUCACAUAUACUACAUAACCAUCUGGGUGACUUUCAAAAAUAUUAUGACAAAUAGGAGAUAAUUUCCUGAGUCAUGAAAAUGAGCUGACUAAAUCUUCAACACAUUUUGGAAGUGAAAAAUGACUCAAUCAGCAUAUUGGACCUUAGAGUGAAGAUAAAAACUUUCCAAGAGACCAAGUUCUCUUCUGUGCCAUUCCCAUUCAUUUUAGCAGACCUUGCCAGCUCAAGACACACUCAAAACAAUCCCAAUGCAUUCUGAGCAUAUUAUCAGUCAUCUGGUAAGAAUUAUUGCUAGUGUGACCAUAAUGUUUUCUGCACCUUUCAAAGCUUCUCUUUUCAACCUCCUUUAGGUUUAAGCAGCAUUUUUGUUAUGUCUAUUUUCUAGAACUUACUAGUGGUAAACUAAUAAUAGUAAUUUCUUCCAGUGAUAAAAUAGAAGAAAGAUCUGUAUGAAGUAUUGUUGACCUUCAAUAUUAUUGUUACUGACCUUAAGGAUAAAUCCCUGAAGAAUAAAUCAAGAUGAGAUGGAGAUGAAUAGCAGCUGGCUGAACGGCUUCUCCAGCAAGUGCCAAGGACAAAUAUCUUGAUUGUCCAAUGGAUCCAACCUCUGGCGGCAGCAGCAGCCUAUAGCCCAUAAACUUCCAUUGGGGUAUGAAUGGGCAGAACAAGCCCAAACUGUCUGGGUAAAAUCCUGUCAACUGGCAACUUCAUCUGCACAAGCAAUUUAUUUUAAUUCCAAUGUAUCAUUUACACAAAUCAAACUUAGUACAGCAAAUAAAGGCAGAAGCCAUUUUAGCACUAGCAUUGCUACUAACCUGAA